rnacentral:rRNA from 1 species
UACGGAGGGGGCUAGCGUUGUUCGGAAUUACUGGGCGUAAAGCGUGCGCAGGCGGUUUUGUAAGACAGAUGUGAAAUCCCCGGGCUCAACCUGGGAACUGCGUUUGUGACUGCAAGACUCGAGUGCGGCAGAGGGGGGUGGAAUUCCACGUGUAGCAGUGAAAUGCGUAGAGAUGUGGAGGAACACCAAUGGCGAAGGCAGCUCGCUGGGACGUGACUGACGCUGAGACGCGAAAGCGUGGGGAGCAAACAGG